UACAGAGGGUGCAAGCGUUAAUCGGAAUCACUGGGCGUAAAGGGUGCGUAGGUGGCGAUAUAAGUUUCAUGUGAAAUCCCUGGGCUUAACCUGGGAACUGCAUGGGAGACUGUGUUGCUAGAGUAGAGUAGAGGUGAGUGGAAUUUCCGGUGUAGCGGUGAAAUGCGUAGAGAUCGGAAGGAACACCAGUGGCGAAGGCGGCUCACUGGACUCAUACUGACACUGAGGCACGAAAGCGUGGGGAGCAAACAGG
rnacentral:rRNA from 1 species